UCAAUGGAAAGCUGGGACCCAAAUUUCUCAUUGGUAUGUGAAAGAUGACACUGAGACAUGCAAAUUAACGCUUCUCGACACUGUAGCUACAACAAUUAUUGGUAGCAAGGCUGUUGAACUCUGGGAUGGUUCAUUUGAUGAGAUGAAGACCCAAAAAUACAUCCUAUGCCUGUUCAAGACUUGACUGGUAAAUAUUUUUGUUUUGAUUUAGCCAUAACCAGUGACAAUGUAACAAACGGAUCUGACACUUUUAAAGUCUCUGAGGUAUGGUCUGGAGAUUAUAUUCAGAGAAUCGAAUCAAUCUCAGAACCAGUUUCAUUAAUUGAGACAAUGUCGUCAACUCUAUCUGGUGGAGAUGUAAGUGAUAGAACCCUCCCUAUGUUAUCAUAUUGUACUACUUUAUGAAGCAUGCGGCUUACAUUAAUAUUUAUGUUCAAAUUAACAUAAUGUGUUUUUCAUAUGUUUUUAGUUUCCUGGGAUAGAUGGUAUCAAUGAGAACUCAUCUGAAGAUUUUUCAACCCCAAAUAACAAGCAUAAGGAAGAUGACUGUGAUCAAAUGGACAUGACAUCCACUUCAAAUAGGUUAUGCACAAAGAUCAUAAAGAAGGAGAAGACAAAGACUGAUUAGUGAUGAUUUGGCCACCUAAUAAAGAGUUAUUUUGCUGUGAUUUUUAAUUUAUUGUUUUAUGACUUUGGUUUUGGUUUUUUAUAUUUUCCUGAUGGUUUUGUUACAUUGAUAUGUCUUGGAAUGAUAGACUCACUGUAUACACGUUUAUUUUUCUAUAUAAAUUAUAAAUUGAUUCUGUUUUUGAAUUUGUUCCAAAAAAAAAAAAAAAAAAAGAUUCUGUUUUUGAAUGCAGGUUUCAGACUUCAGCAUAAUUGGUUUCAUGUGAUGGUUGAAGAAGAGAUUUGGCGUUGUUGUCAAUCUAUAUUUCAUCUAUUUAUUAAACACUUGAUUCAAAUAAGUAUGCAUUAGCUAGAGUUUUAGACAAGACAUACUCUAUUUAUUCUGCUAUUUUCAAACAAUUAAGUGUUAAAUUUUUCUACUA